CCUACGGGAGGCAGCAGUGAGGAAUAUUGGUCAAUGGUCGAGAGUCUGAACCAGCCAAGUAGCGUGAAGGAUGACUGCCCUAUGGGUUGUAAACUUCUUUUAUACAGGAAUAAAAUGAGGCACGUGUGCCUUUUUGCAUGUACUUUAUGAAUAAGGAUCGGCUAAUUCCGUGCCAGCAGCCGCGGUAAUACGGAGGAUCCGAGCGUUAUCCGGAUUUAUUGGGUUUAAAGGGAGCGUAGAUGGGUUGUUAAGUCAGUUGUGAAAGUUUGCGGCUCAACCGUAAAAUUGCAAGUGAUACUGGCAGUCGUGAGUACAGUGGAGGUAGGCGGAAUUCGUGGUGUAGCGGUGAAAUGCUUAGAGAUCACGAAGAACCCCGAUUGCGAAGGCAGCUUACUAAACUGUGACUGACAUUGAUGCUCGAAAGUGUGGGUAUCAAACAGGAUUAGAUACCCUUGUAGUC
rnacentral:rRNA from 1 species